AGUGAACGCUGGCGGUAGGCCUAACACAUGCAAGUCGAACGGCAGCACAGUAAGAGCUUGCUCUUACGGGUGGCGAGUGGCGGACGGGUGAGGAAUACAUCGGAAUCUACUUUUUCGUGGGGGAUAACGUAGGGAAACUUACGCUAAUACCGCAUACGACCUACGGGUGAAAGCAGGGGAUCUUCGGACCUUGCGCGAUUGAAUGAGCCGAUGUCGGAUUAGCUAGUUGGCGGGGUAAAGGCCCACCAAGGCGACGAUCCGUAGCUGGUCUGAGAGGAUGAUCGGCCACACGGGAACGGAGACAGGGUCCAGACUCCUACGGGAGGCAGCAGUGGGGAAUAGUGGACAAUGGGCGCAAGCCUGAUCCAGCCAGACCGCGUGGGUGAAGAAGGCCUUCGGGUUGUAAAGCCCUUUUGUUGGGAAAGAAAAGCAGCAGGUUAAUACCCCGCUGUUCUGACGGUACCCAAAGAAUAAGCACCGGCUAACUUCGUG
rnacentral:rRNA from 1 species